GUGUGAAAGUGCAGGAAAUGGUGCCAGGAGAUGUCUAGUGGUGGAUCCCACAAGAGGCAGAAGCAUCCUCUGCAAAUGUGCAGACAACAGCAGAUGAGGUGGUUGGUGGGGUGAGCACCAGCGCUUCCAUUGAGCAGGACUUGGACAAUGUCAGGCGGACAGAAACAUCCUGGAGCUGAAUAGAGAUGUGGGUUGGAGUGGCCCCAUGUGCCAGUAGAGUCUGGGAAGCAGCUGGCUGAGGAGCAGGCCUGUGGAGAAGGACCCGUGCAUUACCUUGAAAGCAGUAAGAUCACCUUAAGCAGCUGACAGCAGUUCCACUGGUAAGUGCAAGACUGGGAUGGGUGACCGGAUAGGCUGCAGUGUCUCCAAUCAUGGAGGUAUUCAAGAUUCAACCAGACAGAGCCACGAUGGACUCAAUCCAGUGCAGAUCCCAGCCUUGUUUCGAGGUGCAGGUUGGGUUAGAGACAUGUAGAGGUCCCUUCCCACCAACAUUUCAGCAAGUGUGUGAAACCCAGCCGCAAGGGAUACUGUGCUCCAGGCAAGUUUUACUGCAUGUGCUCCACUGCCCUGUUCCCACUGAAGGCAAUAUCCAGGUUCAGCACACCACUAAUGGCCGGGCACAUGGGCAGCUUCCUAGCUUUUGAGGAGACUCAUAGUGAAAGGUCUACAUGCUGCUCUACUACUGCAUGUGCUUUCCUGCCCCAUUGAGACUUCUAAGCAAAAAAACAUCUGAAAAGUGGUUAUUUUUAACUCUGGAGGAGAGGCAUUAUUAUAAUUUCAACCUGGCAAAGCAACAGCAACAAGCAGACACAUCCUCUCCAAAGUAAACUCCUCAAAUAUGAAAUGGUUCCAGGGCAAUAAUUAGACGCAGUUGAGCAUGUAGAAGGAUCCGAAAUGCUCCACCCCGGGGCAUGUAUCUGUUGUAGGACAGCACUGAGCCUGGAAAAGUACGUUAUGGAGCCUUUCAUCUCCCCCAAAGCACUUUACAGACAGUUUUGGUUCCUUGAAAUAAAAACAUUAGGACCCUGCAUGUACUUAAAACGUCCUCGGUGGAGCUACUGGGAGACACUCUGUGCCAUAGCAGAACCAUAACUUACAGUUCAUGCGACCACCAGUCCUUCACAAAUACUAUAACCUAUAAAAACUCAAAAUACGAGUAAAUAACGAGCAUCAUCAUCAUCAUCAUCAU
rnacentral:lncRNA from 1 species